rnacentral:rRNA from 1 species
GAUGAACGCUGGCGGCGUGCCUAACACAUGCAAGUCGAGCGAACAGACGAGGAGCUUGCUCCUCUGACGUUAGCGGCGGACGGGUGAGUAACACGUGGAUAACCUACCUAUAAGACUGGGAUAACUUCGGGAAACCGGAGCUAAUACCGGAUAAUAUAUUGAACCGCAUGGUUCAAUAGUGAAAGAUGGUUUUGCUGUCACUUAUAGCUGGAUCCGCGCCGCAUUAGCUAGUUGGUAAGGUAACGGCUUACCAAGGCAACGAUGCGUAGCCGACCUGAGAGGGUGAUCGGCCACACGGGAACUGAGACACGGUCCAGACUCCUACGGGAGGCAGCAGUAGGGAAUCUUCCGCAAUGGGCGAAAGCCUGACGGAGCAACGCCGCGUGAGUGAUGAAGGUCUUCGGAUCGUAAAACUCUGUUAUUAGGGAAGAACAAAUGUGUAAGUAACUAUGCACGUCUUGACGGUACCUAAUCAGAAAGCCACGGCUAACUACGUG